AUAUCCCAUUGAAACACCGGUUCACAUAGGAUCAUUGAAGUUGAGCAACUUUGAGCCUAGUCAGUACCUAGAUGAGUAACUGCUUGGGAAUACCAAGUGCUGUAAG